rnacentral:lncRNA from 1 species
GUUUUGGGACCCUUUUAAAUUUGAUUCGACACUUAAUUUAAGCUCAUUCAUUCACCUGUAGAAAUAGUGUGUAUUCCUAUGCACACCUUAAACAAACACCGUUGCUUCAAUCACGUAACCUGGAGAAUUCACGUUGCGUCUUAGAUUAGAUGCAAAUGUGGUUCUUCAAGAAAGAUCAGACACUGGGCGUGUUUUUUCUCCAAUGUUUACGUUAUGGAACUCAGUUAUGAAACGAAAUAAGGGGCGGGAUCAUUUGAAGUUACAUAACUUUUUUUUCCAUAAUUCAUUGAAUCGUCAGCCUCAAGGUGAACUUGAAAGGGGAAAAUGAGGAACUUUGACCAUAUUUUCAACUGACACGUGCUGAGGGCCCAUAAAUGCCCCAGUUGCACAAGGAGAUGUGACAUAAAAGCCCCUCCUUGGUCAUUCAUACCAAGCGUCAGUGAAGAGCGCACACAAAACGGUAAGCCGAAGGCAAAUUUAUGUUCGUACCAGUGCCACUGUACAAAACUACUGCUAAAUAUAACAUUUCUGUUUUUUAAUUAUUGCAUUUUAGGUUAUAUCGGCUGCAUUUUAGGCAUUGAGAAUGGCGAAACACAGUAAAAGCCUUUUGUUCGCCAUAAUGACGGCAGUGGUCUUCUUCAUCGUCGCCAUGGUCUUCAGCGCCCUGGCAGCUCAAGGGAAGCAUCCCUUCCUGGAGCCUACUGGCAACGUUUCAGAUGCCUUUGCCAAUGAGAUCACACCCUCAGGAUGGACCUUCAUCAUAUGGACCAUCAUUUACAUCUUCCUGGCAUUAGUGUGUGUCUACACGCUGGCUGGAUUAUUUAGGAAGUGAGUAGCUUUUUUAAAACAAUCGCACUACGUGUAGAUUGUGGCAGACAUGCCCACCUGUACAUUUUGUUUCCAUAGGAACGCUUAUGGUUACGUCUACUGCAGCCCUGCCAUUCUACCACAUGGGUUCUUUGUGGCCUGGUGCUUGAACCUGGGUCUCAAUGUUGGAUGGUUGUUCCUAUGGGACAGGAGGUUGAUGGCUGGAGCUCUGGUCUUCCUCAUCUUAGUUGCUUUGACCAACUACGUGAUGAUUUUCUACUCCUGCCACAGUCUCCACAUUUACGGCGCGUGGCUCAGCAAGUACCACAAAGUCGACCUGUGGCUCCACCGUGCGCUGGUUCAGAACGGCAUCGCCAUAUAUGCAACCUGGACAACUGUUGCCUCUCUGGUUAAUUUGAGCAUUGUGCUGGUCAAAGACGCAAAAAUGUCCCCAGAAGACGCGGUCACUCUUUCUUUCUCUCUUCUCACCGUGGUCUUGCUUGUUUGGUUCGUCCUGGAGAAUUCUCUCCUGGACAAAUACCUGAGGCACAUCCUCUCCAUUUACCCCGCUGUCAUCUGGGCCCUGACGGGGGUGUUCACCAAGAACUACAACACCGCACAGCCCACCCGCAAUAACGUCUUCAACGUUGCUCUGUUGGGCGUCAGCUGCACCUUGCUGGCCCUGCGCUUGGUUUUGGUCAUCUGGAAGAACAUGAAAAGGCCGCUGUUAGAAGACGCCAGCCCAGAGGUCAUGUCUCCAAUGGAGAUCGCCGAGAGACAGAAAAAGAUAUAUAUAUGAGAAUGUUGGAGUUUUGGUCAAGAUUAGGUGUUUUUUUUUUUGACAACGGUGAAGAGGUUUUAUCGUUUAUGUAGCAGUAAACUUGUGUUUUUCAUUUUCAAGUGUUCUCUAGAACAUGAAUGCUAUUGUGUUGGGUAAUUUUGGGCAAACAGCAAUCAAAUGAUGAAUGCUUGUUUCAAAUUUAAGAAAAGGAGACAAAAACUAAAUUAUGGUGGUUUGAAAAUCUCCCAAAUGUGUGUUUAUCAUUAAAAAUCCCUUGAAUGGUGGAAAUGUCAGGUUCAGAUAAAAUGUGAGAUUUCUAAUUAUUAAAGUUUUUUCUCUCAAUAAAACACAAAACACUCAUGUGAAUAAGUGUUGUUUCUUGGUUUUAGUCUCUCCACACUGUUUCUUUUCCUGUUUUACGUUCUAAUAAAAAGAGAAAAAAG